AUAAUUAUAAUAAUAUUAUAUUACAUUGUAGUAAUAUUGUACUAUUAAUAAUACAUUACUAUAUCAUAUCAUAUCAUAAUUAUUUUUAAUAUAUAAUAAUGUAUAAUAUUAUUUGUAUUAUAUUCUACUAUGCAAUACUAUGCAGUAUCCUUUAUUGUCAUUUUGUUAUACCAAAAGCACUUUCUCAUUUUGGUUACUAAACGUAUGUUAAAGUUUCACAGUACUUUAAAAAUAUAGUUAUCAAACAACAAAUAGCUUUUAAUAAAAACUCUACCUCCAAAAUUUCUACUUUUUGAAAGCUCUACUUCUAAAAGCUCUAGAAGCUCUAUUGCUCUACUACCAAUAGCAAUCCCAAAUAGGGCUUAAGGAUAUAAACAGAAGUAGUGAGAGGACAAACUUG
rnacentral:lncRNA from 1 species